AACGAAGACAAAGAUUCUGCCAAGAUCUUCCCAUCAACAAUCCCUAAAAAGCCAAGGCGUGGUCGCAGGAGCGAAGCAGCUGCAGUUGAGGAUUUUGUUCGUGAUUCAUUAGAAAAGACAUUUGCCUCUAUCCGAGAGCAGAACUCUGAUAUGAUGAAAGAUACCGAGAAUAUCCUCAAAGAUAGGGUUGAUGAUGACACUGAGUCUGAUGAAAGUAGUGAUGAUGAAGAUGACAGCAGUAGGGAUAAGAAAGAAAAGAAAAUGAUCAUUGAGGAGGAGGAUCCAAAUUGGCCUCUGGAUGCAGACGUUGGAUGGGGAAUUAGAGCAUCAGAGUAUUUUGACAAGCAUCCAAUAAA
rnacentral:misc_RNA from 1 species